CAGGUUGCAUCUAAGAAUUUUUUUUAAUAUUUUACUUAUUUAAGGAUCAAAUCUUUACCUGAAUCAUAGUGGAACCAGGGAUUAAAUUCUAAAUUAUCUGAUAUAAACCUUCACAGAGGUUUGGAUAUGCAGACCCUCUACUUCACAUGCACGUCAGAUGCCGCAGGAAAGCAGGAUGAACUCCAAUCCAAUUGGCUUCGUAACUCAAUCAAUCAAGGAAUAAGAUGUGAUGGUGUGAUACCUUACACCAAGAGGUGGGAUGCCCAAGAAGAAUCCACGCCCA
rnacentral:lncRNA from 1 species